CCCUCCACGGCCCCUCGGCGCGGGGGACUGGGGCGCCGGCCUGCGACGGGGGCCGCCGACGGGGGCGGGAGCAUCAUCCUGAGCGAGAGCAGAGGACACAGCACUGAGCAGGCACCGGUCCAUCAGAGUGGCUCCGUGGCACUGGAUCCGACCCAGGCACAGAUCCUUGGAGAGCGGUUAUGGGAACAGAGGUCACCGUCUGUCUAGCUGGACGAUGUCCCCUCCCACAGGGCACCAGAUACAUCUUUUCAAGUUAAGUGGGCCAAGCCACGGGGUCAGAAUCGCCAUAGAUGCCCUACCGGUGCCCCCCAGGUGGGUGCCUCGUCCCUGGCAGCUGUACAUCUGAUAAAGCUCGGGCCAGGUCGCCAGGCUGCUCUCAGGUUCCGUGGCAAUGCCAUACUCCCAGGGGUAUUGCUUACACGUGGCCUGAAUUCAUCGUUUUUACCAGAGUUAAAUAAGAAAUCCUCAGACGGGACCACUGAAAAAGCUGUUGAUGAGCGCCGUUAGGGUAAAGCAGUGGGCGGUUGUCCACGCUGAGCACUGGCUCAGAGAGGCCCGGCGCACAGGAGCCCAGGCGCAGGGAGCUGCCGGCCAGUGAUGAGUGGCCGUGUGCCACUGGCUGAGAAAGCCCUGUCGGAAAGCUACGCCCGGCUCCGGUACCGGGACACGUCGCUUCUCAUUUGGCAGCAGCAGCAGCAGCAGCUGGAGUCUGUGCCCCCUGGGACCUACCUGAGCAGGAGCCGCAGCAUGUGGUACUCACAGUACGGCAACGAGGCCAUCCUAGUCCGCGACAGGCACAAGCUUGGAGUCCCCCGGGACACGGGCCAGUCCAAGUUCUGUACAAUCAUGUGAUUCCAGGGAGAAAGCCCGGCCCGGGCCCUCGGCUGCGCAGAGAACAGGCCAUGAUCCACUCAGUGGCCUUAGUGGUUUCCAGUCCUUACUGGGAGAUUCUGAACAGUGAACGUGAUGACCCAAGAACCCAAGAGUCCCGGCAGCGGCUCCCAAGCCCUCUCCACAGUAUCACCAGUCCACAGGCCCAGUGGACCUGGGCCCUGGGCUCCAUUCUACCCCCGCCAGCGCUGCGGGCCCGACCCGCCCAGGGCACCGCUAGUUGCUGCUUUUCUCUUAGGCUUCUGAGCAAGACGGCCACCCUGGCUUCCCACCACUUUUCCAGAAGUUUCUGGGUUUUCAGUUAUUGCCUCCUGCCUGUUACAGAAGGGGGCAGGUCUAGAAAAAGAGGACAGAAUUAGCGUCAUGAAGGCCAAGCAGGAGUAAGCGGGCAGCAGUGGGGCCUUCGCCAGCAAGGCUGGCUGCGGAACGGGCACCGUGUGCAGUGCGCCGUGGGAGCUUCUACACAGCUUCCGGGCACUUGGGGGCGAGCAUGCGAGCGCAUCCAAAAACAUCACGGAAACCAAGACUUAUCUUCUUCCCAACCAGCUGCUGACAGGAUUUCAGAUGUCAUCACAGGACUGACAGGCAAAUUUGGCCUCUCUGCGCUGAGGCGGCAGCUGGUCACCCAUGGGGCGCUGGACAUGUGCCCUACAGGACACCACGCAGGCAGCCUCGGUGCAUCUGGGGGUAGUUUCUGUGAGGCAUCUGCAAAAGAUGUGCCCGUCUGUUGUAACUGAAGUCUGCGUGGCUAUGUAAAUGUGGGAAUAGCUUUUGUCAAAGCUGACCUUUCUAAAUAAAUAACCUUUGGGACAC
rnacentral:lncRNA from 1 species